AAGUCCGGAGCCGGAGCGCGCCGGGCCAGAGCCGCGCCGGAGGCUGAGGCGGUCGCUGGGGAGGUGAGGCGCGCUCUUCCCCGCUCGCCUCCGCUCCGCCGAGGCUGAAAUUCGGGUGGGUGACCCCGCCCCGGCGCCUGCUGAGCCCUGGCACCCAGGACCAAGGGCCGUGGCGCUCUAUGGGCGGGAAGGGCCCGAAAGGACGGCGCCUGAGAGCAUGGAUGGGCACCUUGGGCUCGAUGAAAUUCUAUGAUCUUGCUUAUUCCUAUCUUGGGAAGUCCUUCCCAAUGUCUAACCAAGAUCCAGACUGCCGAUGCACCAGUUCCUUGACCCUUGGCUUGACUUGACUGAUUUGAAAGGUUUUAAAGCCCUUGGAGAAGUGAACUGUGGGGCCUCCAAGCUGCUGGCUCCCAGCCCCAGAUGGGGCAGGAAAGGACUGACCCCCCACAGCUGUGCGUCGGACUCCUGGUUUCUGUGCAGCCCCUCAUUGGACCCUUUCCCGGGCACAGCUCCCCACACCGCAGGAAGGAAGGAACUGGCCUUGAUCAGGCACCUACUUGCCUGUACCAAAAAGGAGAGCCUGCUUCACCAGUUGGCCUGGGUUUCCCCUAAGAAGCCUUCCUGGAUUGACUGAAAGAUGAGGCUAAAUUCUACUAAGUUGACUGUCUCCUCCAAGAAGCCUUUGAGGGGGAUGGGAGUGGGGAGGCCCCAGCCUCCAGCCCGCACAGCCCACUGCACCCGGAGCCCCUGGGAUAAGACUUGGCUUCGCCCUUGCUCCCGCCCCGUCCCAUCCCGGUUCCUCCUGUGUCGUCUGAGCUGAGAUUCCUCUGAGAUGGAAGUCCCACCUCCCGUCUAAUAAAGACUCCUGACUCCUGAACAGCAGCCGUAGUGGCAGUGGAUGUCCCUGUACAGGGUUUUGGGGGGAGGGAUGAAUGAGAGGAGGGCAGUCCUGGGCUCCCUCUAGGAGACCAAUGCUAGAAGCCACCACUGCAACCCAAGGAGGAGGCCUCACUAAGACAGAACUCCAUGGUGGGGCAGGGGGUGGGGGGAGCAGCCACCCAGGGGUCCUGGGAACACCCAGGGUCUGGUCAGGCCCAACUCAGCAAUGGGCUGAAGCUCCCAGCCAAGGAGGCCCCUCAAUAUCAUCCCAAGAACCAAGAGAAUAGGGGAGGUGGGUUGCUCCCCCAGAGUGCCUGUGCGGGAGGUCCCUGGGUGGGUGGGCCUCUGUCUCCUCCAUGAAGUGUCCCUUCCUCAGGUAUGUCCUCCUGGCUUGGAACAGACCACAAAGAGAGAGCACCCCUGUGCCACCGCCCACCCUACCCCCCCGCCCCCCCCAACUCCUGCUUCCUCCUCCAGCAGUGAUGAAAGGGAAUGAAUAUGUCUGUCAAGAGGAAUUCAGGUUAGAGAGCAGGCAGGACUUUUCAGUAAGAUCUUGGGAGGGCAGCUUCGGGGGCCAGGGAACCAUGUCAAGAGGCUGGGACUGUGCUCUUGAUCCCAUCAUUUCCCCCACAGGCUUCUCCAAGAGACAGUCCUCCUCUCACUCUCAGCUCCUGCUGGGAAGCGUUAGCAGAGUCCACUGCCAGCACCUUUUAAGCUCUCCAUCAUCCUCUAAAAAGUCCUUCCUCUCGCCCUGGCUGGCCAGUGUGGCUCUGUUGGUUGGCCAUCAUCCUGUGCACUGUAAGGUUGCCGGUUCGAUUCCUGGUCAGGGCACAUGCCCAGGUUUUGGCUUGAU